rnacentral:rRNA from 1 species
GACAGAGGUGCCGAGCGUUAGGCGGAAUCACUGGGCUUAAAGCGUGUGUAGGCGGACUUCUAAGUACCUUGUGAAAUCCCACGGCUCAACCGUGGAACUGCUUGGUAUACUGGUUGUCUUGAGCCACUUAGGGGCAGUCGGAACAGACGGUGGAGCGGUGAAAUGCGUAGAUAUCAGGAAGAACACCGGUGGUGUAGACGGCUUUCUGGACCGUAACUGACGCUGAGACACGAAAAGCGUGGGUAGCAAACAGG